rnacentral:lncRNA from 1 species
GCCAGUUUAGAGUUAUGAAACACAGGUUAAAAGCUCAAGGGAGACAGCCUGUUCGAACUCCUUGUUACACACACCAUCUGAAACUAGUUUGGGCCUGUUUGGGCCUGUGAACUUUGCUGGGCUCCCUUCUUCGGUCGGUUGAGCCUGGCGAGGUAACGAGCCCUAUGUCGGCCCAACUAUAAUUUUUUUAUUUUUUAUCAAAAACAAUUAUAACAUUUGUGUUAUUUUUUAACACUUAUAAUUGUUAAACUAUUUUUUUGUCUUGUUCACAUUUUUUCAAAGUUCAUCAUGCAUAUUUACUAUUACUACUACAACUACUAAUUAGUGAUGCUAAUAUGGUUGUGCUACUUCUAUUAUAAUCGUUGUGCUACUACUACUAUAACUACCAGUAGUACUCACCACCACUACUAGUCAGUACUAUUAGUACUCAGUUGCUACUACUAGUACGAUCACCACCACUCUACUAAACACUACUACUAGUACUCACUACUACUACGCACUACUACUACUACUCACUAGUAGUACUACUACCACCACCACCACUACUAGUCACUAUUAAUACUUACUACUAUCACUAUUCACUACGGUAUACUACUACAACUAUUAAUCACUACUAACUACUACUACUAAUACUACCACCACCACUCUACUAAACACUACUAUGAGUAGUAGUACUACUACGCACUACUACUACUACUACUACUACCCACUACUACUGCUGCUGCUAACUAAUACUACAACUCACUAGAAGUAGUACAACUCACUAAUACUACAACUCACUAGUAGCACUACUAUUCACUAGUACUCAGUACCACCACCACCACUACUAGUCACUACUAGUAGUACUUACUACUAUCACUAAUCACUAGCUAGUCCUCCAACUACUAAUCACUACUCACUACUACGACUACUACUAGUACCACCACCACUAAAUAAUACUCAUUACUACCACCGACACCAUUACUAAUCACUACUCACUAAUUCUCAUUACUAAUCACUACUAUUGUACUAAUCACUACUAGUACUAGUACGACUGCCAUUAUCGCCACUACUAAUCACUACUAAGCACUACUCACUACUAAUCUUCUUCUACUACUACUACUAACGAUAUUAAUCACUAGUCUACCACUGCCACAUAUAAUUUGUACUUAAUAAUCAUUCUUCUUCUACUACUAAUACGAACGAUAUUAAUCACUAGUCUACCACAACCACAUAUAAUUUUUACUUAACAAUCACUAGUAUAAUUUAUACUUAUUUUUUGGAGACCUUAAUAAUGUUACAUGAAUUUUUCUUCUAAAAAUUGGCCCAUAUAAUAAAAUAAGAUGGAAUUAUCUUCCCAUCCCGCCAUUU